UGUUCUGUCCUCAAAGUAACUUUCACUUCUGCAUGGAGAAAAUACUUUUCAUCUUGAUGUUCAUUAUUCCAGCAGGCAUGACAGCUGAAGACUUAAUCUCUUCUUUACAGACAAAGGUGUCCAGGAAAGAAGGGGAAUCAGUGACUCUGAGAUGCUCUUAUGACACCAGUGAUGAAUAUGUUUAUCUCUACUGGUACCGUCAGUAUUCAGACCAGGCACCUCAAUACAUACUGAGAAAAGGAGCCCGUUCAUACAGCAAUACUCACACUGCAGACUUUGCGAAAGAUCGUUUUAGUUCCACUGCAGACAGAACAUUUACAACCCUCACCAUUUCAGAUCUUACAGUGGGAGACACAGCUGUGUAUCUCUGUGCUCUGAGAGCAGCACACUGUGAGAAAGAUACUGAGGAGCCGUGCAAAAAUCUGUCUGUGAAAAACCGUCUUUGUUCAAAUGACUUCACAUGGCAAGAUUCCAGCCUCUGUUUUUGA